CUCUUUACAUGGAUGCACAAGACACUCUUGACUUUGAUUUUCUGCAGUAUGAAUAUGGUAAGAAGAGUAUGUAUUUGCUGUUGGUGGUGGUGUUUGUUUUGUUGCUGCUGUUGUUGCUUUUUGUCUUUAUUAUGCUUGGGGUUCUCUAAACUUUCUGUAUCUGUGAUUUGGUGUCUAUCAUUAAUUUUGGAAAGCUCUUUGCUGUUAUUACUUCAAUGUUUGGGGUUCUCUAAACUUUCUAUAUCUGUGAUUUGGUGUCUCAUUAAUUUUGGAAAGCUCUUUGCUGUUAUUACUUCAAUUUUUUUUUUUCUGUUUGGUUCUGUCUUUCUUUUCCUUUUGGUAUUCCAAAGUUUCUCACAGUUCUAUAAUCUUCUAAUAAUAUCUCAGUCUUUUAUUGGACACAUGCCUCAGGGCUGAGGCCUUCCUAUGUGUUUCUCAAAUGGUAUAGCAUUUCCUCCCCUGCUUUCUAGCUGCUACAUUUCCACUGCAUUUCCUUGAAGUCCCCAAAACCUGUUGGCUAUAUUUUUCCCUUCAUGUGUGAGACAGGAAGAGAAGAGUGGAUUAGACUGAGAAAAAUGCCUUUUCUUAAACUGAAAUACAUCUCUACACAUUCUCUUCUUCUGGAGGGCAGCUCUUUGUUAUAGAGAACACUCUGGGUGUGUUUCACAAUUUUGAUUCUUCCCUAUUCUAUGCCACAGCCAGGAAAGGGUCUUUCUUGGAUCUUUACUUUGAGGAUAUGAUAGGUUUCCUUGAAAUAGAGCCCAUGCAAAUAUGGGAUUUCCUAAAACUGUGGUCCCCAAAAGGCUCUCCCUCUCAAGCUAUUAUACAGUUAGCCUCCGUCAGUUUGUUAAAAUUGCAAUUUCAGUAUCUUUACAGGGUAUAUGGCUCUAUUACAUUCUGCUCCAUUGUUGCUGUAUUUUUCUGAUUGUACCUGUCUCUAGAUUUCAGAUUGCAAUUUGCCCUGUGACCUCAGUUUUCUGAUAAGUAGCAUAAAACAAAAGUAAUUUUUCAGAAUUUUCAGCUUUUUCUUAUUGUAGGCAUGGGAAUAAGAACUUCGAAGCUCUUACAUGUUGGAGCCAAAAUUGGAAUUCCCAUGCAUGGGGUUAUGAUAAAUAGUAAUCAUUCAUCUUCAAAACCACUGAUACCAGCUUGGCCAAAAAUAUGCUUAAGAAAAAUCUUUCUUUAUAUUAAUAUCAGACUCUGUAUGGUUCUUAGCCCUUUCUCAUCCCUGCAGCUAAAGGCAUGUGGUCCUCUGUUCCUAUACCAAACAGUAUCAGUUAAGAUGGAGAUUUCAGGGGCCUUGUUUUUACAUACUGUUGAAAUCAAUCCUGCUUUAGCUAAGUCUGUUUUGGGCCUAAUUUCCAGAUUCCUAAUUCUUGGGAUUGUUUUCUCCAGCUGAGGAAUUCUUAACCAAACAAGAGACUUGUUUUUUCAUUUCCUAAUCUGAUGAUUCCCUUUUCUAUCACCUGUUUUUAAGACUUAAUUCCUGCCUCUAAACUCCAGCUAAGUGUUGCCUUUUGAGCCUAAUCCUUAUAUCUCUGGAAGUCAGUAUUUUCUACCUGUCAGGCCUCUGAGCCCAAGCUAAGCCAUCAUAUCCCCUGUGACAUGCACAUACACAUCCAGAUGGCUGGUUCCUGCCUUAAGUGAUGACAUUCCACCACAAAAGAAGUGAAAAUGGCCUGUUCCUGCCUUAACUGAUGACAUUGUCUUGUGAAAUUCCUUCUCCUGGCUCAAAAGCUCCCCCACUGAGUACCUUGUGACCCCCACUCCUGCCCACCAGAGAACAACCCCCCUUUUUCCUUUACCUACCCAAAUCCUAUAAAAGGGCCACACCCCUAUCUCCCUUCGCUGACUCUCUUUUCAGACUCAGCCUGCCUGCACCCAGGUGAUUAAAAACUUUAUUGCUCACACAAAGCCUGUUUGGUGGUCUCUUCACAGGGACAUGCAUGAAAUUUGGUGCCGUGACUCAGAUCGGGGGACCUCCUUUGGGAGAUCAAUCCCCUGUCCUCCUGAUCUUUACUCCAUGAGAAAGAUCCACCUACAACCUCAAGUCCUCAGACUGACCAGCCCAAGAAACAUCUCACCAAUUUCAAAUCCGGACCCUACUGAAAAUCAGACUGUUCAACUCACCUGGCAGCCACUCCCAGAGCCCCUGGAACUCUGGCCCAAGGCUCUCUGACUGACUCCUUCCCAGAUCUUCUCAGCUUAGCAGCUGAAGACUGACACUGCCCAAUCGCCUCAGAAGCCUACAGGACCAUCACAGAUGCUCUAGGUAACUCUCACAGUGGAAGACUCAGCCCGCCUGCACCCAGGUGAAAUAAACAGCCAUGUUGCUCACACAAAGCCUGUUUGGUGGUCUCUUCACACGGAUGUGCAUGAAACUACCUACACCCAUACGGAAGGGAACAAAUCAUGAAAAGUAAUGGAAUGCUACAGCCUAGUCAGUUUUGAGAAAAGGCUAACCAACAACAACAACAACAAAUCAUAGUCAUGCUCAGAUUGCACAUGAACAAAAAAAUGUUGGAGAGAAACCAUUGAAAUAACUCACCGGUCCUCUUGUGUUGCUGCUUAUCUGAUUAUCUGAGGUC
rnacentral:lncRNA from 1 species